rnacentral:misc_RNA from 1 species
GAUGAAGAACGCAGCGAAAUGCGACAAGUAAUGUGAAUUGCAGAAUUCCGUGAAUCAUCGAAUCUUUGAACGCACAUUGCGCCCCUUGGUAUUCCGAGGGGCAUGCCUGUUCGAGCGUCAUAUUAACCACUCCCGCUUGCGGGGUCUUGGGCUUCGCCUCCGGGCGGGCCUUAAAAUCAGUGGCGGUGCCGUCGGGCUCUACGCGUAGUAAAUUUUCUCGCGAUAGGGUCCCGGUGGAUGCUUGCCAACAACCCCCAACUUCUUAAGGUUGACCUCGGAUCAGGUAGGGAUACCCGCUGAACUUAAGCAUAUCAAUAAGCGGAGGA